rnacentral:rRNA from 1 species
AUUGAACGCUGGCGGCAGGCUUAACACAUGCAAGUCGAGCGGGGUGAUGGUGCUUGCACUAUCACUUAGCGGCGGACGGGUGAGUAAUGCUUAGGAAUCUGCCUAUUAGUGGGGGACAACAUCUCGAAAGGGAUGCUAAUACCGCAUACGUCCUACGGGAGAAAGCAGGGGAUCACUUGUGACCUUGCGCUAAUAGAUGAGCCUAAGUCGGAUUAGCUAGUUGGUGGGGUAAAGGCCUACCAAGGCGACGAUCUGUAGCGGGUCUGAGAGGAUGAUCCGCCCAACUGGGACUGCGACACGGCCCAGACUCCAACGGGAGGCAGCAGUGGGGAAUAUUGGACAAUGGGGGGGACCCUGAGCCAGCCAUGCCGCGUGUGUGAAGAAGGCCUUAUGGUUGUAAAGCACUUUAAGCGAGGAGGAGGCUACUUUAGUUAAUACCCAGAGAUAGUGGACGUUACUCGCAGAAUAAGCACCGGCUAACUCUGUGCCAGCCGCCGCAGUAA